rnacentral:misc_RNA from 1 species
GUGAAGUCAAGUUGUGCUAGCGUAAGGUUUAACCAGAGACUGGAUUUAUGGAAACCGAUGAGUCGGUUAUUGGCAGGCAAUCCCUUUGUCAGAAUUCUAUCAACCUCUGAAGGACCAGAACUCAUAGAUGCACGAGACGAUCAUUUGAACUCAGUGCUCUUGAGCUUUGGGAUUGCUGAACAAUGCACAAGGCAGGAGAAUAUUCUGAAGUACCUUAGAUCUGGAUCAAAUGAUGUAGAAAGCGGUGAAAUAGAUAUAGCUAUACUCUUUGAUCUCAUGGGACCACUGGUACAUGCGAUAAACAUGCAUCAACAACAAUUUCCUUCUUAUCUCGAACAACAAUCUCGUGAUGCUCAGCCAUCUCUUGUUUAUCCAAGUGCUGCGCUCCACCUAUGGGAACCUUCUUCAAAUUUGAUAGGACUCGAUUCAGGAAAAAUGAUUCAUUCUGAUGGUCGUCUAUUAGUUAGUGGUGUCACUGCUAGCAUUGAGAUGAAGGACAUACUUUCAAUUAUCUCCGAGUUCUACUUCUCAAAGGACUCAAUGAAAUGCACAAAGCAUGCAAUGGUGGUUCCGUACUUUGACAGGAAGACAUGCAAGACAAAGUCCAAAGGUGAAAGUUCUGCUCAGAAACUUGACGUGAAUGCAUCAUCUCUACGGAGUCCUCAGAAAACUAAGUACCAGACAUCACCUCAGAGAAAGAGCAACAAGAGAGCAGUUAAAGAGAGUGAGAUCUACAGGAACAAUUACCUCCAUGCAUGUGAAAGCCUUCUGUCCAUAAUAGUUGACAAGAAACGGCAUGGAAAAACUGCGAUACUUUCAUUGAAGAAAUCGGGUCCCCAACUACCAAAUUUUCUGACCACGUUCUCUGCUACCAUCGCUGGAACUGGCAUAGCCGUCCUUUUCUCAAUUGCCUGCAGACUAGCCUGUGGAAGAAUCGUGUUCUCUGCACCUAGACUAUUGAACACUGGUUUAGGCCUUGGACUUAUAUGGCUCUCUUGGGCUGUCAAUAAUUUGAGGGACACAGUUGUGGUGAUCAACAGAAGUUCAGGCAAGUUGGAUAUGAUAGAAGAUGACAUGAUGAAUAAUUUGGACAAAAAUGUGAAGGAAAUCUACUUCAGAGCAGCAACUUUGCUGGCAGUCGUAGUGCUGAGGCUUGCUUGAUUUCAAGAACACAAGAUUUAGAGAUUGUAAAAACAUGCACAGCUUGGGGGAUGAUAUCAAUAGCUCGUUUUGGGACAUUCAACUGUAAUAUAAUAUUUGAGCAGAAAGAACUGGAUUUUUUCACAGCACGAAACAUGUAGUGAGUAACAAAGUUUCAAGCCCUUUCUACUCGUCUAGUUUGUUUUGUAGCGGAGUCUUGUAUAAUGAUGUGAAUAACACUAGCACGAGAGUUUCU